rnacentral:rRNA from 1 species
CAAAACAUGGCUUAUUGAUAAUAAUUUUAAGUCGAUCUGCUCAAUGAUUAAUUAUUAAAUAGCUGCAGUAUACCUGACUGUACAAAGGUAGCAUAAUCAAUUGUCUUUUAAUUGAAGGCUGGAAUGAAAGAAUUAAUGAAAUAUAUACUGUCUCAAUUAUAUAAAAUUAAUUUAAAUUUUUAGUAAAAAUGCUAAAAUUUAAUUAUGGGACGAUAAGACCCUAUAGAAUUUUAUAUAUUUAAUUAAUAUUAUAUUAGAAAUUUAUUUAAUAUUAAUUAAAUAUAUUUAGUUGGGAGGAUUAUUAAAUUUAUUAAACUUUAAUUUAAUUUAAUCUAAAAUUUUAGAAUAAAUUAUUGAACUUUAUUAAAAAUUAUAAGAAUAAAUUACCUUAGGGAUAACAGCAUAAUAUCUUUUGUUAGAUCUUAUUAAUAAAGAUGAUUAUGACCUCGAUGUUGAAUUAAGAUAUAUUUUAAAUGCAGGAGUUUAAAAAUUAAGUUUGUUCAACUUUUAAAAUCUUACAUGAUUUGAGUUCAGAUCGACGUAAGUCAGAUUGGUCC